AGUGUGAGGGGUAAAGCGCAGCUGGUUGAUGGCCGCUGAGGCUGAGGUUGAGAGGGUGCGGGUGGACAGCGCGGAGGAGGGGGAGCUGCCCCUGGCGGCAGCCGCGGAGCUGGCCGCCCAGAAGCACGAACAGAGGCUGCGCAAAUUCCGGGAGCUGCACCUGAAGCGGUAGAAUGAAGCUCGAAUGUUAAAUCACCAGGAAGUUGUGGAGGAAGAUAAAAGACUUAAAUUACCUGCAAACUGGGAGGCUAAAAAGCUCGUCUGGGAUGGGAGCUGCAGGAAGAAGAAGAGAAAAAAGUAAGUACAAUUCCACCAUCCUCACAAGCUGUGGAUUCCAGGAUUCUCUUGUGUUUUGCCGAGGCGGCAUAUGGCAUGGAAGGUGAGCACUCUGGCUCUGAGAGAGUUGGGAGACUAAAAUGUGUAAAACAUGUAACAGCAGUGCCUCGCACGUAGAGUGGCAUAAGCAGUGGCUAUUAGAGUAAGAGCCUAAGCUACAGUAACAAAAGCUCCAACAAUAACAAACUGUAGGGGCGCCUGGGUGGCUCAGUCAGUUA